GCAGUCGAGCGGUAACAUUUCUAGCUUGCUAGAAGAUGACGAGCGGCGGACGGGUGAGUAAUACUUAGGAAUCUACCUAGUAGUGGGGGAUAGCUCGGGGAAACUCGAAUUAAUACCGCAUACGACCUACGGGAGAAAGGGGGCAACUUGUUGCUCUCGCUAUUAGAUGAGCCUAAGUCGGAUUAGCUAGAUGGUGGGGUAAAGGCCUACCAUGGCGACGAUCUGUAGCUGGUCUGAGAGGAUGAUCAGCCACACCGGGACUGAGACACGGCCCGGACUCCUACGGGAGGCAGCAGUGGGGAAUAUUGGACAAUGGGGGAAACCCUGAUCCAGCCAUGCCGCGUGUGUGAAGAAGGCCUUUUGGUUGUAAAGCACUUUAAGCAGUGAAGAAGACUCUUCGGUUAAUACCCGGAGACGAUGACAUUAGCUGCAGAAUAAGCACCGGCUAACUCUGUGCCAGCAGCCGCGGUAAUACAGAGGGUGCAAGCGUUAAUCGGAAUUACUGGGCGUAAAGCGAGCGUAGGUGGCUUGAUAAGUCAGAUGUGAAAUCCCCGGGCUUAACCUGGGAACUGCAUCUGAUACUGUCAGGCUAGAGUAGGUGAGAGGAAGGUAGAAUUCCAGGUGUAGCGGUGAAAUGCGUAGAGAUCUGGAGGAAUACCGAUGGCGAAGGCAGCCUUCUGGCAUCAUACUGACACUGAGGCUCGAAAGCGUGGGUAGCAAACAGGAUUAGAU
rnacentral:rRNA from 1 species